rnacentral:rRNA from 1 species
CCUACGGGAGGCAGCAGUGGGGGAUAUUGCACAAUGGGGGAAACCCUGAUGCAGCGACGCCGCGUGGGUGAAGAAGGGCCUAGGCGCGUAAAGCCCUGUCAGCAGGGAAGAAAAUGACGGUACCUGAAGAAGAAGCCCCGGCUAACCUCGUGCCAGCAGCCGCGGUAAAACGUAGGGGGCAAGCGUUAUCCGGAUUUACUGGGUGUAAAGGGGGCGCAGGCGGCGCGUCAAGCCCGGAGUGAAAGCCCGGGGCCCAACCCCGGGACUGCUCUUGAAACUGCGUGGCUAGAGUGCAGGAGGGGCAGGCGGAAUGCCUGGUGUAGCGGUGAAAUGCGUAGAUAUCAGGAGGAACACCGGUUGCGAAGGCAGCCUGCUGGACUGCGACUGACGUUGAGGCCCGAAAGCGUGGGGAGCAAACAGGAUUAGAUACCCGAGUAGUC